rnacentral:rRNA from 1 species
GUGCCAGCAGCCGCCGCGGUAAGACAGAGGAUGCAAGCGUUAUCCGGAAUGAUUGGGCGUAAAGCGUCUGUAGGUGGCUUUUCAAGUCCGCCGUCAAAUCCCAGGGCUCAACCCUGGACAGGCGGUGGAAACUACCAAGCUGGAGUACGGUAGGGGCAAAGGGAAUUUCCGGUGGAGCGGUGAAAUGCAUUGAGAUCGGAAAGAAUACCAACGGCGAAAGCACUCUGCUGGCCGACACUGACACUGAGAGACGAAAGCUAGGGGAGCAAAUGGGAUUAGAGACCCCAGUAGUCCUAGCCGG